rnacentral:rRNA from 12 species
ACAUGCGGCCACACCCGAGUGCAAGUGCUUGAUAGCUUCUGAUCUCAGAAGCUAAGCAGGGCCAUCCCUGUUUAGUACUUGGAUGGGAGACCAACAUGAAAGACCAGGGGCUGCUAUC